rnacentral:tRNA from 1 species
GGCGACGUAGCCAAGUGGGAAGGCAGGGGCCUGCAAAGCCCUGAUUCGCGGGUUCGAAUCCCGCCGUCGCCU